UACGUAGGGUCCGAGCGUUGUCCGGAAUUAUUGGGCGUAAAGGGCUCGUAGGCGGUUUGUCGCGUCGGGAGUGAAAACACGGGGCUUAACCCCGUGCCUGCUUCCGAUACGGGCAGACUAGAGGUAUGCAGGGGAGAACGGAAUUCCCGGUGUAGUGGUGAAAUGCGUAGAUAUCGGGAGGAACACCAGUGGCGAAGGCGACUACCUGGCCUGUUCUUGACGCUGAGGCGCGAAAGCUAGGGGAGCAAACGGG
rnacentral:rRNA from 1 species